rnacentral:piRNA from 1 species
UCCUUCCGUGAACGACAAAAGUACUUCGAGC